CAAAAUCACCGAAUUCGAUCGGCUGUUAAGAAUUGCCAAAAUAAAUGAAGUAAAUAAAUAGUGUAGAUCAUGUGGUGGAAAUAAACCACAACAAGCAUGUCAAUGCACCAUAUACCCCUCCCCUCCUGAUGCUUUGAAAAUAUCCGGGCUAGAUGUCCCUAUCAGGUGGCAACCUUACUUAUUUCCCUAACAUUUUAUUUUUUCUCACGAUUUAUAUUUUUUUGGGACGACAUGUCGAAGACUAUCAAAUAAACCGUUCUGUCUAAUAAAUUUUCUCAUUUUUGUAAAAUUUCAACUUUUUUUGUUUCUCAUUUCUUCAUGUUCAGAUAACUAUUGUGAGUUUCACUGAAACUUGUUCGCCGCGCUAUAAACCGCAACUCUGAAACCAAAUGCCCUUCUUGGUUGCCGAGUCGAUUUUAUUUUCUUCGGGACACUGUAAGCAACAACCAAAAUUAAAUCUACCUGCUUUGGCAACCCUUUCCAAAAUCAAAACAAACUUCGAUUCUGGCAGCACACUGAAGGCGGCAACAGCGGUGCCAGGCUUACAUAUUAAUCUAAUAUAAAUUGAUAUCAUAAUGCUUAAAACAGAAACCACAAAUCUCCACUGUCUCCAGCAGUGAUUUCUUCAAAGAUUUUCCCGAUACUUUAACAAUGAAGGUUGAUGCAAAUGAAAACAGCAUACAUCUGGCAACUCAGCGCGGCCUUUGAUUGAAGCGCGGUGUUUGGAUUAGACCGCGUUCAGUUUUGGGCAAAUCUCUUAAUAUCAACGCUUCAUUUGUUCUAUCUAAUUUAUCGAAUUAAAAUCAAUGACGUCUUCUGACAUUUGGAGUCGUAUUUACGGCUGAAGGAUCAGCAAAAAGACAACCCAAAAGUAAUAGUGUCCAUGUUCGAUCUAAGAGAAGUUUCAAGCGAAAUAAAUUUUGUGAGCUGGGAGAACCAUACAGUGACCAUCUCCCUUUCCGUGCACCCGCCGGAAGACCCCAUGACAGAUGCAGAAGAAAAGUUGUGUAACUUUUUCACGAGCUUCAUUUGAUUUAACGAGCAUGGUCAUAAAAGAUAUGAUUAAUAAAUAAAUAAUGUUGAAUGCA